rnacentral:rRNA from 1 species
AUGAACGCUGGCGGCGUGCCUAACACAUGCAAGUCGAGCGAGAAAUGUAUUUAUGAAACUUCGGUAGAUUAGAUACAUGGAAAGCGGCGGACGGGUGAGUAACGCGUAGGCAACCUGCCCCUUGCAGAGGGAUAGCCAUUGGAAACGAUGAUUAAAACCUCAUAACGCUGCAUUGUCACAUGAUGGAGCAGCCAAAGAUUUAUCGGCAAGGGAUGGGCCUGCGUCUGAUUAGCUAGUUGGUGGGGUAACGGCCUACCAAGGCGACGAUCAGUAGCCGACCUGAGAGGGUGAUCGGCCACAUUGGAACUGAGACACGGUCCAAACUCCUACGGGAGGCAGCAGUGGGGAAUAUUGCACAAUGGGCGAAAGCCUGAUGCAGCAACGCCGCGUGAAGGAAGAAGGCUUUCGGGUCGUAAACUUCUGUCCUAGGGGAAGAUAAUGACGCAACCCUUGGAGGAAGCCCCGGCUAACUACGUGCCAGCAGCCGCGGUAAUACGUAGGGGGCAAGCGUUAUCCGGAAUUAUUGGGCGUAAAGAGUGCGUAGGUGGUAACUUAAGCGCGGGGUUUAAGGCAAUGGCUUAACCAUUGUUCGCCCCGCGAACUGGGAUACUUGAGUGCAGGAGAGGAAAGCGGAAUUCCUAGUGUAGCGGUGAAAUGCGUAGAUAUUAGGAGGAACACCAGUGGCGAAGGCGGCUUUCUGGACUGAAACUGACACUGAGGCACGAAAGUGUGGGGAGCAAACAGGAUUAGAUACCCUGGUAGUCCACACCGUAAACGAUGAGCACUAGGUGUCGGGUGAGCAAUCAUUCGGUGCCGGAGUUAACGCAUUAAGUGCUCCGCCUGGGGAGUACGUACGCAAGUAUGAAACUCAAAGGAAUUGACGGGGACCCGCACAAGCAGCGGAGCAUGUGGUUUAAUUCGAAGCAACGCGAAGAACCUUACCAGGGCUUGACAUCCCUCUGAAACUCUUGAUAACGAUAGAGCCCUCUUCGGAGCAGAGGAGACAGGUGGUGCAUGGUUGUCGUCAGCUCGUGUCGUGAGAUGUUGGGUUAAGUCCCGCAACGAGCGCAACCCUUGUCAUUAGUUGCCAGCAGUAAGAUGGGCACUCUAAUGAGACUGCCGGGGACAACUCGGAGGAAGGUGGGGAUGACGUCAAAUCAUCAUGCCCUUUAUGUCUUGGGCUACACACGUACUACAAUGGCUAUAACAAAGAGAAGCGAGACAGUGAUGUGGAGCAAAACUCAAAAAAAUAGUCUCAGUUCGGAUUGAAGGCUGAAAUUCGCCUUCAUGAAGCUGGAAUUGCUAGUAAUGGCAGGUCAGCAUACUGCCGUGAAUACGUUCCCGGGCCUUGUACACACCGCCCGUCACACCAUGAGAGUUGGGGAUACCCGAAGCCUGUGAGCUAACUAAUAGAGGCAGCAGUCGAAGGUAGAAUCAAUGAUUGGGGUG